CCUCGUAAGCAUGGUAUUUGGCUGGGUUGAGUCCAAAAUCCACCACUGCCUUGGAAGCAAAGAAGUCAUAGUAGAGAAGAUGGUGGGGGGGCUGCCCGGCCUUGAAUAGGUACCAGUGGAUGUAGUUGUUUUCCUCAAGAACAUCACAAGUGAUAACUACAUAGGACCCAUGUUUCCUGGCAAUUGACAUCAUUCCUCCUUCCAAUCCAGAAGACAUUUGACUGCCUACGGAGGACACAGCAACGAAACAAUGAUAAGAAAGAAGUAAGUGGAAUUCUUUAGUAUGGCCUCCCAGCGUGGGGGACCAUGAGCAGCUAUGCCACACCCUUACCAGGAGGCAGGAGAGCUAAAAGCAGGACCACAGCCCACAGCAUGGCUACCUCUCCUCUGCCUUGGAAGGAGAGGGACCAGAUGAGAAGAGAAGCAGAGAGUCCUCUCCAAACUCAAAGCCCUCUCAACACGAAGAACGUGCCACGAAAGCAAGUCCGGCUAGCAGGCUGCACAUGA
rnacentral:lncRNA from 1 species